rnacentral:rRNA from 1 species
UACGUAGGGGGCGAGCGUUGUCCGGAGUUACUGGGCGUAAAGCGCUUGUAGGCGGUCCACCAAGUUUGGGGUGACAGUUGCCGACUUAAUCGGCAAAGUGCCUCAAAGACUGGCGGACUUGAGGGCCACAGAGGGACAUGGAACUCCAGGUGUAGUGGUGAAAUGCGUAGAUAUCGGGAGGAACACCUGUGGCGAAAGCGGCUCACUGGACCAUUACUGACGCUGAUGCACGAAAGCUAGGGGAGCAAACAGG